CGUCUAUAUACGUAUAGCAUAUCAAUAAGCGGAGGAAAAGAAACUAACUAGGAUUCCCUCAGUAACGGCGAGUGAAGCGGGAAGAGCUCAAAUUUGAAAUCUUCAAGGUUCUACCUUGACGAAUUGUAGUUUAAAGAAGUGUUUUCUGUUGGAGUUUUGGUAAAAGUUCUUUGGAAUAGGACAUCAUAGAGGGUGAGAAUCCCGUAUUUGACCAUUAUUUCCAACUUUGUGAUACACUUUCAAAGAGUCGGGAUUGUUUGGGAAUGCAGUCCAAAAUGGGUGGUAAAUUUCAUCUAAAGCUAAAUACUGGCGAGAGACCGAUAGCGAACAAGUACCGUGAGGGAAAGAUGAAAAGAACUUUGAAAAGAGAGUUAAACAGUACGUGAAAUUGUCAAAAGGGAAGCGUUUGACACCAGUGUUGUUUUCUCGAAAAUCAAUUAAAAAUGGCAGGAUUUUGUGUUGUAUUGACUUUAUCAGCUUUCUGCACUUUUUUCCUGUCUUUUUUAAUGCACUUUUCGUUUAGCAAGUCAACAUCAAUUUCUUUUGUUGUAAAAGAGUCAUUGGAAGGUGGCUUUCUUUUCGGAGAAAGUGUUUAUAGCCUUUGACUUCUGCAAUCGGAGAGAUUGAGGUCUGCAGCGUAGAUCCUUCGGGGUUAGAUAGCAUUUGUGCUAAGCUAUAGCCUUUCAUAGACAACUUGUUGACUAUGAUCAGUCAUGUAGCUUACUCGCUUAUGCUAUUUUACCUACGCUUAGGAUGUUGACGAUCAGCUGAGCGCG
rnacentral:rRNA from 1 species